rnacentral:rRNA from 1 species
GUCCACGCCCUAAACGGUGGAUGCUAGGUGUGGGGGGUAUCGACCCCCUCUGUGCCGUAGCUAACGCUUUAAGCAUCCCGCCUGGGGAGUACGGCCGCAAGGCUAAAACUCAAAGGAAUUGACGGGGGCCCGCACAAGCGGCGGAGCGUGUGGUUUAAUUCGAUGCAACGCGAAGAACCUUACCAGGGCUUGACAUGCUGGUGGUACGGAUCAGAAACGUGAAGGACCCUUCGGGGAGCCAGCACAGGUGCUGCAUGGCUGUCGU